AUUGAACGCUGGCGGCAGGCCUAACACAUGCAAGUCGAGCGGAUCUGCGGACGGGUGAGUACUUCCUAGGCAUCUGCCUGUUCGUGUGGGAUAACGUCCGGCACCUGGCGCUAAUCCCGCAUACUAUCAGCUUAGCCUAGGUCGGCUUAGCUAGUUGGUGGGGUAAAGGCCUACCAAGGCGACGAUCCGUAACUGGUCUGAGAGGAGGAUCAGUCACAUGGGAACGGAGACACGGUCCAGACGCCUACGGGAGGCAGCAGUGGGGAAUAGUGGAAAAUGGGCGAAAGCCUGAUCCAGCCAUGACGCGUGUGUGAAGAAGGUCUUCGGAUUGUAAAGCACUUUAAGUUGGGAGGCGGUACCAACAGAAUAAGCACCGGCUAACUUCGUGCCAGCAGCCGCGGUAAUAA
rnacentral:rRNA from 1 species